rnacentral:rRNA from 1 species
UUCGCCCUUAGAGUUUGAUCCUGGCUCAGGACGAACGCUGGCGGCGUGCUUAACACAUGCAAGUCGAACGGAGCACCCCUGAAAGAGUUUUCGGACAAUGGAAGGGAAUGCUUAGUGGCGGACUGGUGAGUAACGCGUGAGGAACCUGCCUUCCAGAGGGGGACAACAGUUGGAAACGACUGCUAAUACCGCAUGACACAUGACCGUGGCAUCACGGACAUGUCAAAGAUUUAUCGCUGGAAGAUGGCCUCGCGUCUGAUUAGCUAGUAGGCGGGGUAACGGCCCACCUAGGCGACGAUCAGUAGCCGGACUGAGAGGUUGACCGGCCACAUUGGGACUGAGAUACGGCCCAGACUCCUACGGGAGGCAGCAGUGGGGAAUAUUGGGCAAUGGGCGCAAGCCUGACCCAGCAACGCCGCGUGAAGGAAGAAGGCUUUCGGGUUGUAAACUUCUUUUAAGGGGGAAGAGCAGAAGACGGUACCCCUUGAAUAAGCCACGGCUAACUACGUGCCAGCAGCCGCGGUAAUACGUAGGUGGCAAGCGUUAUCCGGAUUUACUGGGUGUAAAGGGAGCGUAGACGGUGCAGCAAGUCUGAUGUGAAAGGUCGGGGCCCAACCCCGGGACUGCAUUGGAAACUGUUGAACUGGAGUACAGGAGAGGUAAGCGGAAUUCCUAGUGUAGCGGUGAAAUGCGUAGAUAUUAGGAGGAACACCAGUGGCGAAGGCGGCUUACUGGACUGUAACUGACGUUGAGGCUCGAAAGCG